rnacentral:misc_RNA from 1 species
UUGAUAUUAUCUUCAGUGAGAGAUGGCUGCUCAAAAUCCAAACUGAAAGGCCUCGGACAAACAGGUUCUUCGUUGAUUUCAUGAAGAGGUGCUAAGUAUGGGUGACAGAGAGCUUCAUCAGCUGUAAUACGCCUGCUUGGAUCAAAGAUGAGCAUCUUUUCAAGCAAAUCUACAGCUCGGGGAGAUGAAUUUGGGAAUCUGGCAGCAAAUUGUUGCCUUGGGUACCUUGGAAGUUGUCUAACGUAUCUCCGGGCAUUAUUACUCCGGAGAAACCCAAGGCUGGCAUCAUCUGGUGAGCCUAUUAGCUCAGUGAUAAGUCUCAACUGGUGUACGUAAUCUCUUCCAGGAAAAAGGGGUUGUCUUGUCAAUAUUUCACCGAGUAUGCAACCCACUGACCAAAUAUCAAUUGCCGAUGUAUAUUCUGAACAAUUUAGUAGCAACUCUGGUGCACGGUACCAGCGUGUCACACAAUAUUCCAUCAUGAAAUCUGUCUCAGUUGUCGUCCUUGCUAGCCCAAAAUCUCCAAUCUUUAGGUCACAUUUUGCAUUGACAAGCAAAUUGCUGGGUUUUAAAUCACGAUGCAAGAUAUUGGCAGAGUGAAUGUACUUAAGUCCUCG